rnacentral:sRNA from 12 species
GUAGAGCUAAGGGACACUGUGGAAACGGCAGGUCAGGCCUGAUCGGAAACAGCAGCAGGUGAGUCCGCCUUAUGUGAAGGAUCGGCUGAAACACGAGGAAAUACUGAGCCAACGCAAGACGGUAGCCGAACAGUAGCAAC